UACGUAGGUCCCGAGCGUUGUCCGGAUUUAUUGGGCGUAAAGCGAGCGCAGGUGGUUUAUUAAGUCUGGUGUAAAAGGCAGUGGCUUAACCAUUGUAUGCAUUGGAAACUGGUAGGCUUGAGUGCAGGAGAGGAGAGUGGAAUUCCAUGUGUAGCGGUGAAAUGCGUAGAUAUAUGGAGGAACACCGGUGGCGAAAGCGGCUCUCUGGCCUGUAACUGACACUGAGGCUCGAAAGCGUGGGGAGCAAACAGG
rnacentral:rRNA from 1 species